UGGGGAAUAUUGCACAAUGGGCGCAAGCCUGAUGCAGCCAUGCCGCGUGUAUGAAGAAGGCCUUCGGGUUGUAAAGUACUUUCAGCGAGGAGGAAGGCGUUGUGGUUAAUAACCGCAGCGAUUGACGUUACUCGCAGAAGAAGCACCGGCUAACUCCGUGCCAGCAGCCGCGGUAAUACGGAGGGUGCAAUCGUUAAUCGGAAUUACUGGGCGUAAAGCGCACGCAGGCGGUCUGUCAAGUCGGAUGUGAAAUCCCCGGGCUCAACCUGGGAACUGCAUCCGAAACUGGCAGGCUAGAGUCUUGUAGAGGGGGGUAGAAUUCCAGGUGUAGCGGUGAAAUGCGUAGAGAUCUGGAGGAAUACCGGUGGCGAAGGCGGCCCCCUGGACAAAGACUGACGCUCAGGUGCGAAAGCGUGGGGAGCAAACA
rnacentral:rRNA from 1 species